rnacentral:rRNA from 1 species
GGUUUGAUCAUGGCUCAGAUUGAACGCUACAGGGAUGCUUUACACAUGCAAGUCGUGAACGGCAGCACGGACUUCAUCCGCGGCGAGAGUGGCGAACGGGUGAGUAAUGUAUCGGAACGCCUAGUAGGGGGAUAACUACGCGAAAGCGUAGCCAAUACCGCAUACGCCCUUCGGGGAAAGCGGGGGACCUUCGGGCCUCGCACUAUUAGAGCGGCCGAUAUCGGAUUAGCUAGUUGGUGGGGUAACGGCUCACCAAGGGCGACGAGAUCAGCUGGUUUGAGAGGACGACCAGCCACACUGGGACUGAGACACGGCCCAGACUCCUACGGGAGGCAGCAGUGGGGAAUUUUGGACAAUGGGGGAAUCCCUGAUCCAGCCAUCCCGCGUGUGCGAUGAAGGCCUUCGGGUUGUAAUGCACUUUUGGCAGGAAAGAAACGGCACGGGGAUAAUACCCCCGUGCAACUGACGGUACCUGCAGAAUAAGCACCGGCUAACUACGCCAGCAGCUAUGGUAAUACGUAGGGUGCAAGCGUUAAUCGGAAUUACUGGGCGUAAAGCGUGCGCAGGCGGUCGGAAAGAUACGUGAAAUCCCAGAGCUUAACUUUGGAACUGCAUUUUUAACUACCGAGUUAGAGUGUGUCAGAGGGAGGUGGAAUUCCGCGUGUAGCAGAAAUGCGUAGAUAUGCGGAGGAACACCGAUGGCGAAGGCAGCCUUCCUGAUAACACUGACGCUCAUGCACGAAAGCGUGGGGAGCAGGAUUAGAUACCCUGGUAGUCCACGCCCUAAACGAUGUCAACUACGUUGGGGCCCCGGGCCUUGCAAAGGGCAGCUAAUCGCGGUGAAGUUGACCGCCUGGGGAGUACGGUCGCAAGAUUAAAACUCAAAGGAAUUGACGGGACCCGCACAAGCGGUGUGACGAUGUGGAUUGUAUCCAUAAACGCGAAAACCUUACCUACCCUUGACAUGUCUGGAAUCCCGAAGAGAUUUGGGAGCGUCACAAGAGAACCGGAACACAGGUGCUGCAUGGCUGUCGUCAGCUCGUGUCGUGAGAUGUUGGGUUAAGUCCCGCAACGAGCGCAACUCCUUGUCAUUAGUUGCUACGGAAAGGGCACUCUAAUGAGACUGCCGGUGACAACCGGAGGAAGGUGGGGAUGACGUCAAGUCCUCAUGGCCCCUAUGGGUAAGGCUUUCACACGUCAUACAAUGGUCGGGACAGAGGGAGUCGCCAACUCCGCGAGGGGGAGCCAAUCCUGUGAAACCCGAUCGUAGUCCGGAUCGCGUCUGCAACCUCGACUCAGGAAGCUCAAUCACCAUGAUCAGCAUGUCGCGGUGAAUACGUUCCCGGGUCUUGUACACCGCCCGUCACACCAUGGGAGUGGGUUUUACCACAGAAGUAGUUAGCCUAACCGUAAGGAGGGCGAUUACCACGGUAGGAUUCAUGACUGGGGUGAAGUC